UGAUGAUCUAAUGAUGGAAUCUUGAGGAACCUGUUCCUUUGCCUACAAAUCAAUGAUAUUGAGCCAUUCUGUCAGGAUGAGAUUGCCCUGUAUCGGCAAUGUGCAGAGAGAAGGGAUAAGGAGCUUAGGCAACGCCUUCAAGAUAGUGAACAGAAAUUAGAAUUGUCAACGCCUCUAGAUCAAGCAAAAGAACGAGCCACUCAACUAGAAUCAGAAGUCACAUUACU